rnacentral:rRNA from 1 species
AUCGCAAGACCUCGCGCGAUUGGAGCGGCCGAUAUCAGAUUAGGUAGUUGGGUGAGGUAAAGGCUCACCAAGCCGACGAUCUGUAGCUGGUCUGAGAGGACGACCAGCCACACUGGGACUGAGACACGGCCCAGACUCCUACGGGAGGCAGCAGUGGGGAAUUUUGGACAAUGGGCGCAAGCCUGAUCCAGCAAUGCCGCGUGCAGGAUGAAGGCCUUCGGGUUGUAAACUGCUUUUGUACGGAACGAAACGGUGAGCUCUAAUACAGUUUGCUAAUGACGGUACCGUAAGAAUAAGCACCGGCUAACUACGUG